rnacentral:tRNA from 1 species
GUAGCUCAAGUGGUAGAGUGCAUGCUUAGCAUGCACAAGGUCCUGGGUUCAAUUCCCAGC